rnacentral:tRNA from 1 species
GCUCCUAAAGGAUAAUAGCUCAUCGUGGUCUUAGGAACCAAACUCCCUGGUGCAAAUCCAAGUAGGCAGCU